rnacentral:rRNA from 1 species
CCUACGGGCGGCAGCAGUGGGGGAUAUUGCACAAUGGGGGAAACCCUGACGCAGCGACGCCGCGUGAGUGAAGAAGUAUUUCGGUAUGUAAAGCUCUAUCAGCAGGGAAGAAAAUGACAGUACCUGACCAAGAAGCCCCGGCUAACUACGCGCCAGCAGACGCGGGAAUACGUAGGGGGCAAGCGGUAUACGGAUUGUCUGGGUGUAAAGGGAGCGUAGACGGUUAUGUAAGUCAGGAGUGAAAGCCCGGGGCCCAACCUCGGGCCUGCUGUGGAAACUGGGUAACGUGAGUACAGGAGGGGCAGGCGGAAUUCCUGGUGUAGCGGUGAAAUGCGUAGAUAUCAGGAGGAACACC